rnacentral:tRNA from 1 species
UUAACUGAAACCAAAAAGAGGUCAUUUAUUGUUAAUAAAUUAAGUGAAAUAUAUAUUUCCAGUUAAU